rnacentral:rRNA from 1 species
CAGUCGCCGCGGGAAUACGGAGGGCGCGAGCGUUACCCGGAUUUACUGGGCGUAAAGGGCGUGUAGGCGGCCUGGGGCGUCCCAUGUGAAAGGCCACGGCUCAACCGUGGAGGAGCGUGGGAUACGCUCAGGCUAGAGGGUGGGAGAGGGUGGUGGAAUUCCCGGAGUAGCGGUGAUAUGCGCAGAUACCGGGAGGAACGCCGAUGGCGAAGGCAGCCACCUGGUCCACUUCUGACGCUGAGGCGCGAAAGCGUGGGGAGCAAACCGGAUUAGAUACCCCUGUAGUCCCUGUCUCUUAUAA